rnacentral:rRNA from 1 species
GGCGGUUCGCCGCCGGCGACGUCGCGAGAAGUCCACUGAACCUUAUCAUUUAGAGGAAGGAGAAGUCGUAACAAGGUUUCCGUAGGUGAACCUGCGGAAGGAUCAUUGUCAAAACCUGCAAAGCAGAACGACCCGCGAACAAGUACGAAAUGCUCGGGUGGUCGUGCGGGGAUGGGGCGCUAGCYCCGGACCCGAGGGCCCCUGGCCGACGCGCGUGCGGAGCCCCCCGCAGUGGGGGUGCCGUUCGUCGCCCGGCGCAACAAACUAAUCACGGCGCGGACCGCGCCAAGGAAAACUACAACUUGAGAGAGUGCGUCCCUCGCCGCCCCGUCCUCGGUGUGCUCGGGGGGCCGGUCGCCUCUAAGUAAAAACAUUGACGACUCUCGGCAACGGAUAUCUCGGCUCUCGCAUCGAUGAAGAACGUAGCGAAAUGCGAUACUUGGUGUGAAUUGCAGAAUCCCGCGAACCAUCGAGUCUUUGAACGCAAGUUGCGCCCGAAGCCAUUAGGCCGAGGGCACGUCUGCCUGGGCGUCACGCCUCGCGUCGCCCCCCAAGCCCGAACCCUGGCAACGGGUGCGCGGGUUGUAGGGGGCGGAUACUGGCCUCCCGUGCCCCGGCGCGCGGCUGGCCCAAAAUUGGGUCCUCGUCGAUGGACGCACGGCAAGUGGUGGUUGGCUAGGCCCUCGCGUUUGUAGUCGUGCACCACCCACUCGACGGAGUCGGCUCAUGUGUGACCCCGACGCGUCGUUAACGACGUCGCUCCGACCGCGACCCCAGGUCAGGCGGGACUACCCGCUGAGUUUAAGCAUAUCAAUAAG